CGAGAGGUUUGAAUAAAAAUUGGAAAGUUGGAACUCAAGACCAUAAUUGAUCUAAAGAAAGAUUCUGUUGCUUUCCAUGAGAUGAUUAUCUCGAGCAAUGGUGAUCUUGGAGAAUGGUUACAAAAGAUGUCAUCCAUCCUUAUGAAGUUGAAGGACUACAUUGAAAUGGGAAACCCUGAAGCUGAUAAUUCUGAGGCUGAAAAGAGUUCAUUUAAGCACAGAUCUCCUGUUAUCCCAGAUGAUUUUCGAUCUCUAGAACUAAUGAAAGAUCCUGUGAUUGUCUCUACUGGACAGACCUAUGAAAGAUCGUGCAUCCAAAAAUGGCUAGAUGCAGGACACAAGACUUGUCCAAAGACACAGCAAACACAGUUGCAUACUGCUCUAACACCUAAUUAUAUUUUGAAGAGUUUGAUGGCAUUGUGGUGUGAAAGCAAUGGUGUUGAGCUGCCUAAACAACAAGGAGGUUAUAGAACAAAAAAAAUUGGAACCAGUUUUUCAGAUUGUGAUCGAAUUGCUAUUGUUGCCUUAUUAGCGAAAUUGGCAAAUGGGAAUCCAGAACAACAAAGAGCAGCUGCUGGAGAGCUACGUUUACUAGCAAAGCGGAAUGCUGAUCCUGUGGCUGUCUGGCGAACUUUGGGUGGGUGACUCGCGAGCUUCUGAUUAUGAGCUGUUUUGUGAUGUUCAAUCUUCUGCCUGAAAAAGUAAAGAUGGGUAGAAAAUCUGUUAGAUUGAACAAAAUGGGCACAAGUUGAUUUUGUGGGCCUCGCAAAAUCGAGUACCCAAAGUCAAAUCUGCAUAGAUGACAGACACCCAUUUUCGCCAAACCGAGCACCUAAAAGUUCCGCUUCCACCGGUGCUUUUACAGUUAUAACCUUCCCAGUACACUGUCAAAACUUGUCACAUAUGUGGAGAUGUGGGCUUUUUGGAGAUGAUUGUAACUUGCUUUCAAUGCAAAAUAACUCGGGAACAUGUCUAUUGCAUGCCAGUCCUUCUCUUAAGUACCCCAGAAAUUUGGAUAUGUGAAAUAUGCCAAUCUAGUAAAGACAAAGAGUCCCAACAAUCUUUCAUGGAGGAACACUUUCCUUUGGCUCUUACGCCAAAUAACUCCGAGAUAGUUCACAAUGAUACUAUGCAAUCUAUGGCUGCUGGCAAUCUUCGUGAUUACUCAAGGAUUUUGGUACAUCUUCAAAAGGAAACUGCUCCUGGGAAAGGGGAACUAACAUCUUCUUCAAGUGAAGAAGCAAUUAAGCUUUCAUCGGGAACCCAAAAAGUGGAAAAUUCCUCGCCUAGCACGCAGGGUCCAAGUUCUGGUCAAUCAAUUUCCAGAAUAAUUUCUACAAGGACUGCCAUUGGGUUUAAACCUCCUCCUCUCGAGCAUUCUCAGCAGGUGAUAGAAACAAGUACUAAUAUUGGACUGAAAAAACAAUUAAUGCCCCUUGGACGUUGUAGUGCAGAGUGCAGUUCAAUGACUCAGCAACAUGCAUAUCAAAUGGAAGAUAAAAAGACUCCUCUGGCAUACCAGGAUAAGUGUGUCUUCAAGGAAGAGCCAGUAGAGAUUCUACUGCCUGCUAAAAGCGUUGAAAGCUGAAGUCCAUCUUCAUCAAUAAAGAAGGCAAUCAAGUUUACCCCUUCACCAUCAACAGACGCUGAACCCGUUAUUCAUUCAGGCAAGGAAGUCUCUCUGGCUUAGUCUGAAUUUCACUUGUUUUUGCAUUCAGUAGAAAUAUCAUUCUGAAGUUAUCUGGUUCUGAUUGCUAAAGAAAGGUGUUAGUUUAGGAGACAGCUUUGAUGCUGAUAUUAAUUGCAAGAGUUUGGGACUUCAAAUGUGUGAUAUACCAAUCACCUUGCCCAAAGUUACGAAAUAUUUUCCACAUUAUCCUUCUUCAAAAGCGACUUGGUGGUGAGUAGCCCUAGCAUUUCAUGAUCUUAUGUAUUUUUCCACUCACUUGCAAAUGGAAUAAUAUGUGGAACAAAGUGAAAGGUUCAAGCAGCAAGUACAUGGUAAUUCGGUAAAGGUCACCAAUAAUUGUGUUAAGUUGGAAUUUCAUACUGGCUACCAAGGAAAUAUAGGGUUUCAUCUGUGGAAUGCAACAAUCCAAUCUUUCUAAGUAUCGGGGAAAGAAAAAGGUAUAGGUAAGGUAGGCCUACAUGUAUGAUGACAUUUUUUCUUUCCUUCUUUUUUGAUUUUUUUUUUCUUUUGGUGUGGGGGAGACAUGCUACGACUGACUUUUGCUCGGAACAUCUUGUCAUCUGAGAAUAAAAUCAGAUUUCUUCCUUCCAUUCUCAUUUUUCUUAUGUGACUUAAUUUAAGUGAUUGCUUCAUUUACCUUUUACAUAUUCUUGAGGAAAUGAGACCAGACAUUUAUUGUUCAAAGACAAUUGUUUUUUACUAUUUAUUAUCCAUAAAUAAUUUAGCCUGAACAUUCAUCUCAACUGAAGCCCUUAUUCAUCUGACUACAUAGAUUGUAGACCUUUCAUUCCAUCUAGAGCGAUAUCUCUGAUCCAACUCAAAAAAACCUCCUCAUUCCUUUAAACUGGACAUUUAUGUACUGUUCUUUAUUGCAAGUCUAAAUGAGAGGUUACCGAUUUUCUUUUCACAGCCUUGAAGCCAAGCUACAGGAGUUAUUAGUUGGAGUUCCCAAAAUGGGAUUCAGUAUUUCCUCUUUGAUUUGAAUUAUUACUAGACCCUGGAGCUCUUGUUUUCCCUUGGAGAUUCUGUGUAGCGCCUCAAAGGAACAAUUUUUUUCCUCUGUAAACUAAUUCUAAUUCUUAAAUUUCUGGAAAUUUGUUUUGUGUCUAGUAGGCUAUUCUUGGGAUUUUUGUUUUAUGUAAUGUACAGUUUUUUGAAUUUUUAUCCAAGAAUUUACUUCUCUCGACUGCAGUUACUUUUCUGUUUCUAGCGGAAGUUUGGAAAUUCCAUAUUCAGUUUCUUCUAGCCGAAUUCUUUGAUGUUUUUCGGGCUCAUUUUCCCGGUGGAGUUCAGCGUAAAGCCUUUGAAUUUUCGAACCAGAUGCCUGGAGUGCUACAGUGUACAAUGCUUUCUUCUGAGUUUGGAAGUUUUUCAGAAUGAAUACUCAAAUGCGGAUACUAUUGCCCUAUAUUUUUUCCCUGGCAACUUUAAGAGGUCUAGAUAGCAGUACGAGCGCCUCUUGGGUAUUGUAGAAAUGAAAGAUCUGGUUCUGAGGAGUUCAGUAGGUGGUGUGGAAUUGUUAGUUUUCCCUUCUAAAAGUCUGCACAUGGAUUUCCAGGAACAAGUAUUUACAUCUGGUGUAUGACCUUCAAUUAGAACCAUUCCUAUGGGGAAUAUGCUGCCCGGUAAGAAGUGAUCUUGCAGAAAGCUUUGAUUUCCAUUGCGAGUUCAAACCACUUAGAGGUGAAGUAAAAGUGGAACAACCCAACAUUUCAGCUGUUCCUCCUGGGUUUUCUUCAAGAACCGCUGAUGGUGCUGUUGGUGGGAGGAGAGGAGAUAUGCAAGAAAAACAAUUUCUGUAAUCAUUAUAAAAAAUUAAAUAUUCUGUAAUAUUUUACUAUUUAAUUACUUAUAUUUAAUAUAGUGAUACUAUUGAAUCUCUUAUAUUUACUAUUA